UUGAAACACAAGUUCCCAUAUGACCACUGAAGUUAAGCAACAUUGAGCCUGGUCAGUACCUAGAUGGGUGACUGCUUGGGAAUACCAGGUGCUGUAA